rnacentral:rRNA from 1 species
GACAGAGGGUGCAAACGUUGUUCGGAAUUACUGGGCGUAAAGCGCGUGUAGGCGGCUUGGCAAGUCGGGUGUGAAAGCCCUGGGCUCAACCCAGGAACGUGCACUCGAAACUGUGAAGCUUGAGGCUGGGAGAGGAGAUCGGAAUUCCGUGGUGUAGCGGUGAAAUGCGUAGAUAUCAGGAGGAACACCGGUGGCGAAGGCGGAUCUCUGGACCAGUUCUGACACUGAUGAGCGAAAGCCAGGGAGCAAACAGG